AUUGAACGCUGGCGGCAGGCCUAACACAUGCAAGUCGAACGAGUGGCGGCCGGGUGAGUAAUGUCUGGGAAACUGCCCGAUGGAGGGGGAUAACUACUGGAAACGGUAGCUAAUACCGCAUACCAUCGGAUGUGCCCAGAUGGGAUUGGCUAGUAGGUGGGGUAACGGCUCACCUAGGCGCCGAUCCCUAGCUGGUCUGGAAGGCUGAGAUGCCACACUGGAACUGUGACACGGCCCAGACUCCUACGGGAGGCAGCAGUGGGGAAUAUUGCACAAUGGGCGCAAUCCUGAUGCAUCCAGGCCGCGUGUAUGAAGAAGGCCUUCGGGUUGUAAAGUACUUUCAGCGAGGAGGCGUUACUCGCAGAAGAAGCACCGGCUAACUCCGUGCCAGCAGCCGCGGUAAUAC
rnacentral:rRNA from 1 species